ACGCUGAUGAUUUGGGUUUGAUGU
rnacentral:siRNA from 1 species